rnacentral:rRNA from 2 species
GGCCCUUUAGCUAGUUGCUGAGGUAACGACUCCCCAAGGCGGCCAUACAUAGCCCACCUGAGAGGUGGAUCGCCCACACUGGGCCUGGAACCCGGCCCCAGACUCCUACGGGAAGGCAGCAGUAGGGAAUCUCCCGCAAUGGACGAAAGUCUGACGGAGCAACGCCGGCGUGAGUGAUGAAGGUUUUCGGAUCGUAAAGCUCUGUUGUUAGGGAAGAACAAGUGCCGUUCAAAUAGGGCGGCACCUUGACGGUACCUAACCAGAAAGCCACGGCUAACUACGUGCCAGCAGCCGCGGUAAUACGUAGGUGGCAAGCGUUGUCCGGAAUUAUUGGGCGUAAAGGGCUCGCAGGCGGUUUCUUAAGUCUGAUGUGAAAGCCCCCGGCUCAACCGGGGAGGGUCAUUGGAAACUGGGGAACUUGAGUGCAGAAGAGGAGAGUGGAAUUCCACGUGUAGCGGUGAAAUGCGUAGAGAUGUGGAGGAACACCAGUGGCGAAGGCGACUCUCUGGUCUGUAACUGACGCUGAGGAGCGAAAGCGUGGGGAGCGAACAGGAUUAGAUACCCUGGUAGUCCACGCCGUAAACGAUGAGUGCUAAGUGUUAGGGGGUUUCCGCCCCUUAGUGCUGCAGCUAACGCAUUAAGCACUCCGCCUGGGGAGUACGGUCGCAAGACUGAAACUCAAAGGAAUUGACGGGGGCCCGCACAAGCGGUGGAGCAUGUGGUUUAAUUCGAAGCAACGCGAAGAACCUUACCAGGUCUUGACAUCCUCUGACAAUCCUAGAGAUAGGACGUCCCCUUCGGGGGCAGAGUGACAGGUGGUGCAUGGUUGUCGUCAGCUCGUGUCGUGAGAUGUUGGGUUAAGUCCCGCAACGAGCGCAACCCUUGAUCUUAGUUGCCAGCAUUCAGUUGGGCACUCUAAGGUGACUGCCGGUGACAAACCGGAGGAAGGUGGGGAUGACGUCAAAUCAUCAUGCCCCUUAUGACCUGGGCUACACACGUGCUACAAUGGACAGAACAAAGGGCAGCGAAACCGCGAGGUUAAGCCAAUCCCACAAAUCUGUUCUCAGUUCGGAUCGCAGUCUGCAACUCGACUGCGUGAAGCUGGAAUCGCUAGUAAUCGCGGAUCAGCAUGCCGCGGUGAAUACGUUCCCGGGCCUUGUACACACCGCCCGUCACACCACGAGAGUUUGUAACACCCGAAGUCGGUGAGGUAACCUUUUAGGAGCCAGCCGCCGAAGUGACAG